rfam:Gossypium raimondii Chr06_contig_385, whole genome shotgun sequence.
AUUUUGUGAUGGGGACACUUCCUCAAUAGUGACUUAAAUCGAUCCCAAGCUUCGUGUAAAUUUUCACCUUCCAAUUGCUUGAAAUUGGCGAUCUCAUGGCGGAGUU